CGAACGGGUGAGUAAUGCAUCGGAACGUGCCCAGUCGUGGGGGAUAACUGCUCGAAAGAGCAGCUAAUACCGCAUACGACCUGAGGGUGAAAGCGGGGGACCGUAAGGCCUCGCGCGAUUGGAGCGGCCGAUGUCAGAUUAGCUAGUUGGUGGGGUAAAGGCCUACCAAGGCAACGAUCUGUAGUUGGUCUGAGAGGACGACCAGCCACACUGGGACUGAGACACGGCCCAGACUCCUACGGGAGGCAGCAGUGGGGAAUUUUGGACAAUGGGCGCAAGCCUGAUCCAGCCAUGCCGCGUGCGGGAAGAAGGCCUUCGGGUUGUAAACCGCUUUUGUCAGGGAAGAAAUCCUUUGGGUUAAUACCCCGGGGGGAUGACGGUACCUGAAGAAUAAGCACCGGCUAACUACGUGCCAGCAGCC
rnacentral:rRNA from 1 species